rnacentral:rRNA from 1 species
ACUGUCUCCCCCCUCUAAUCAGUGAAAUUGAUCUCCCCGUGAAGAAGCGGGGAUAUAAAUAUAAGACGAGAAGACCCCAUGGAGCUUUAAACCCAACAACACCUAUCUAUUUUAUUCCCCCAUAUUUAUACGGUUAUGUUUGUUUGGUUUUAGGUUGGGGUGACCGCGGAGUAUAAAACAACCUCCACGAAGAAAAGACUAAUAAUCUUUAUCAGAGAAAGACAUUUCUAAGAAAUAAUAUAUUAACUUUAAAUGAUCCGAUAUUCGAUUAACGAAUCAAGUUACCCUGGGGAUAACAGCGCAAUCCACCUUAAGAGCCCUUAUCGACAGGUGGGUUUACGACCUCGA